CCUACGGGGCGCAGCAGUGGGGGAUAUUGCACAAUGGGGGAAACCCUGAUGCAGCGACGCCGCGUGAGCGAUGAAGUAUUUCGGUGUGUAAAGCUCUAUCAGCAGGGAAGAAAAUGACGGUACCUGACUAAGAAGCCCCGGCUAACUACGUGCCAGCAGCCGCGGUAAUGCGUAGGGGGCAAGCGUUAUCCGGAUUUACUGGGUGUAAAGGGAGCGUAGACGGCAGUGCAAGUCUGAAGUGAAAGGCAAGGGCUCAACCCUUGGACUGCUUUGGAAACUGUGCUGCUGGAGUGUCGGAGAGGCAA
rnacentral:rRNA from 1 species